rnacentral:rRNA from 1 species
UACGUAGGGUGCGAGCGUUGUCCGGAAUUAUUGGGCGUAAAGAGCUUGUAGGCGGUUUGUCGCGUCUGCUGUGAAAAUUCCGGGGCUCAACCCCGGACUUGCAGUGGGUACGGGCAGACUAGAGUGUGGUAGGGGAGACUGGAAUUCCUGGUGUAGCGGUGAAAUGCGCAGAUAUCAGGAGGAACACCAAUGGCGAAGGCAGCUCGCUGGGACGGUACUGACGCUGAGGCGCGAAAGCGUGGGGAGCGAACAGG